CUGGGUGCAGCGCCAGCGCCGGCGCCGGCAGCUGCGAGGGCUGCGGAGAUUAAACAGAAGUGUCCAGAUCGGGCAUUGUGGGUUUAAAUCCUGAAUUCACCACUCACCAUCUGAGGCUUUCCCCUCUCACAAAUUAGUUACCACCUUUUAUCUCAUCUGACAACGGGAAUAAUAACAGCAAGGAUUGUAGCGACUAGUUCACAGGUUUGCUUCAAUUGAAUUCCAUUUGUUUUCUUGCCACCCUCGAUGCCCAGGUGAGAGGAUAAGGUAAUUUCUGACAGUCUGAGACUCCUUGAGAGAAACAGACUAGGUGCCAAGACCCUAUUUUGGGAGAAAUCUUUGUUUUCCUAAUGGAACCCCAAGAAUUCCAGACCACACGGGAUGUGGGGAGCAUUUUCCUCCCUGGAGAGGGAGGUUCAUGAGCUAGUGGCAUGGGAAGACAUGAUCCCUUCACAGCUGAGGAGCGGGUGCCUGGAUCUUUGA